AAAGAUCCCUGCACCGGGACCAUUGAGCAGCCGCAUCUCAUGCGAGAACUCAGCCGGCCAGACCACAUUACUCGAGGAGCCGCUGACGGGAGAACAAUUCACCAGAAAGGACGGCGCGAUAUAGGGAUGAUGGUAUCACAUGUACAUAUGUAAAACUAACAGCCAUCGUCGCAAAGAAGGAAGAAGAUGUCGCUGCAAUGAUCAUCACCUUCAGUCCUG
rnacentral:misc_RNA from 1 species